AUUGAACGCUGGCGGCAGGCCUAACACAUGCAAGUCGAACGGUAACAGGAAGAAGCUUGCUUCUUUGCUGACGAGUGGCGGACGGGUGAGUAAUGUCUGGGAAACUGCCUGAUGGAGGGGGAUAACUACUGGAAACGGUAGCUAAUACCGCAUAACGUCGCAAGACCAAAGAGGGGGACCUUCGGGCCUCUUGCCAUCGGAUGUGCCCAGAUGGGAUUAGCUAGUAGGUGGGGUAACGGCUCACCUAGGCGACGAUCCCUAGCUGGUCUGAGAGGAUGACCAGCCACACUGGAGCUGAGACACGGUCCAGACUCCGACGGGAGGCAGCAGUGGGGAAUAUUGCACAAGGGGCGCAAGCCUGAUGCAGCCAUGCCGCGUGUAUGAAGAAGGCCUUCGGGUUGUAAAGUACUUUCAGCGGGGAGGAAGGGAGUAAAGUUAAUACCUGUGCUCAUUGACGUUACCCGCAGAAGAAGCACCGGCUAACUCCGG
rnacentral:rRNA from 1 species